GGGGCUGUAGCUCAGUUGGGAGAGCGCUGGCUUUGCAAGCCGGAGGUCAUCGGUUCGAUCCCGUUCAGCUCCACGA
rnacentral:tRNA from 1 species